CAAGACCUCAAUUAAGGGUUGGCAGUGGAGGCAAGGGUAUCUUGCUGGAGAUCCUUGUGUACUUGAGGCUUUCUAAGGGCUCAGUUUUACACCUUUGCUCCAAACUGCCAGCUUCCCACACCAAGUGGGGCAGCAGCAGAAGGGCUGAGGAACCUCUCAUCACACAGAAAGAGAUAUAUUGUAUAAACCCUGUGAAAAGAAGAUGUAAUCUGUACGUACAUACUUUUUUGAAAAACUUGAAAAGAAAUGUUUAUCAAAAAGAACUUAAUUUUGGGAUGCCAGAUAUUCUUUUCUUAUCCAAUAGGUUGUAUUAGCAUGGCUGCAGAAAACUAUAUCUUUGUAGAAACAGGGACACUUACUGCUUCAGAAGGAAUGAAAAGACUAAGUCUUUGAAACAUUUGUUUUCUGUGUUGAUCUGUAAGACAAACUCAAUCUCCAGAAAAUUUCAGAACAAUGAAAAACACCUAUCUCACAGAAGGGAAAAGGCAUUGUCCUGAUUUUUGCUGGGACAGAGUUAAUUAUCUUCUUAGUAGUUGGUAUGGUGCUAUAUUUAGAUUUAUGAUGAGAAUAAUUUUGAUAACAGAUGAAUGCUUUAGCUGUUACUGAGCAGUGCUUACACAAAGUCAAAGACUUCUCUGCUUCUCCUGCUGCCAUGCUAGUGAGGAACUGGGGGUUCACAAGGAGGUUGGAUGGGAUGGAACCAGGACAGCUGAUCCACAGUGGCCAAAGGGAUAUCUCAUACCACAUGGCAUGAUGCUGAACAGUAAAACUGAGGAGAGUUGGAUGGGGGAGCUGCUGCUGCUGCUGGAGGACUGACCGGGCACAUCCCACUGUGGUGGAAUGAGUGAAUGGCUGUGUGGUGCUGAGCCACCUGCUAGGUUAAACCACAACUGCUCUAAUUUACUUUUAAUAUUCUUUCUAAACAUCUUAUGUUUUAGAAAACUGUUAUUUUAAAUGAUACUAAAGGACUUUGUAAACACACAACAGAAAAAUGAGGUUAAAAAGUCCUACCCCAAAUAACGAAUCAAAAAUAGUAUGUGAUAGGAAGAUGUAUAAACCAUUUCAGGUGAGCUGCUUAUGCUGGAUGACUUCAAGUUGAAGAAAGAAGAGAAAACCUUCCUAGGUUGUAGUUCUGACCUAUUUCUAGUUGUCUGCUUUAGGGUGUGAUGAAUUGCAUGCUAAAAGGGAUGGAGUCACACCAUAGAUUCUAAACUAAGCCUUGGGUGACUGGCUCAGAUUUAAAUGUUUGUACAGUAAUAGUGGGGAAGAGAAAUCCCAUUCCUCUUAGUCUUUUUCAUCUUAGUGCAUGAUGGGAAAAUUUGAUUGGUAUGUGAUGCUGAGGGCAGCUGUUGGAAAAUACUAUGUUUUGAGGCAUAAAUACCUUGAUUCUAUUAUCAGUAAUAGUCAGCAAACUGCAAAUAGAAUUAGAAACUUGCUGAGAAUGCCUGUGUUCCUUCAGUCACCUUCAGGGGUAUGAUCUUAGUUACAACCUUGGAAAGAGGAAUAAUUUAAUGAUAUAUUUCUGCUUGACUGAUUUAAUAUUCUUACUUUAAAAGAAUGAGUAUCAUGCUGAUGUUCUUGAGGCUGUUGUUCAGAUUCUAUUUUACGUUCUUUCAUGGCACUUGUAAGUACCACACAGUUGUACAAAAUCUGUGUAAGAAAUUAAAAAGCUACUUUACCAUUUUGAACAAAUGGGAAUCCUAAGUACAGACAGUUUUGCUGCUGUCCAGGUCCCACAGCAAGUCAAUCCCAGCUGAGGAGA